GCUUAGAGUUUGAUCCUGGCUCAGGAUGAACGCUGGCGGUAUGCUUAACACAUGCAAGUCGAACGGAGUACAUUGUACUUAGUGGCGGACGGGUGAGUAACGCGUGAGAAUCUGCCUUCAGGAUGGGGAUAACAGUGGGAAACCAAUGCUAAUACCCAAUGAGCCGAGAGGUAAAAAAUUAUUGCCUGAAGAGGAGCUCGCGUCCGAUUAGUUAGUUGGUGGGGUAAAGGCCUACCAAGGCGGCGAUCGGUAACUGGUCUGAGAGGACGAUCGGUCACACUGGGACUGAGACACGGCCCAGACUCCUACGGGAGGCAGCAGUGGGGAAUUUUCCGCAAUGGGCGCAAGCCUGACGGAGCAAUACCGCGUGAGGGAGGAAGGCCUUUGGGUUGUAAACCUCUUUUCUUAAGGAAGAAGCUCUGACGGUACUUAAGGAAUCAGCAUCGGCUAACUCCGUGCCAGCAGCCGCGGUAAUACGGAGGAUGCAAGCGUUAUCCGGAAUUAUUGGGCGUAAAGCGUCCGUAGGCGGCAUUAUAAGUCUGCUGUCAAAGACCGCAGCUCAACUGCGGAGAGGCAGUGGAAACUGUAAAGCUAGAGUCUGGUAGGGGUAGAGGGAAUUCCCAGUGUAGCGGUGAAAUGCGUAGAGAUUGGGAAGAACACCAGUGGCGAAAGCGCUCUGCUGGGCCAGAACUGACGCUGAGGGACGAAAGCUAGGGGAGCGAAAGGGAUUAGAUACCCCUGUAGUC
rnacentral:rRNA from 1 species